GCUGGAUGAAACACCUUCACCACGUCCAUUUCCAUUCGGACUGAUGUGAGAAUUUGAAAAGCACUAUGGUGGAGUAGAAAGAACAAGGAACUGUACUAUUUAAAGGGCAGAGAGAUGGGAGCAUCAGUAACAGAACGCAGGGACCAUUAUGCCUAAGGAUUAGACAAUGAAAGGGCAAAUCAGUUGAGUCCAAAGGAGUCAUCACUGAGGAUGAGAGAAGUGAGAGAGCAUGGAGUCUUGGAAACCAAGAGGCCAGCCCAUUUCCAUCAGCAACCAGAGGAGAAGUCAAUGUGAGUCGUGGAGGAGCUGCAAGUUGAGACGAGUCUAGAAAUAGGGACCAGAUUUGGGACAGCUGUCUUGCCCAAACACCUAAAGACAUUGAGAAGAUUCUCCUGAGAUUGCAUGGGACAGAGGCCAGGCCCUGUUGGGGUGAGCUGGAUGGAGGCAGGCUGGAAGCAGGUGGCAAGGCCAUCAGAGUCCUGGCCGAGAAUGUGCACAGGACACCUGUCAUGGGCAUCUGUUGGAGAUUGAGUGUCAACCAGUUUCUCAUCUGGGUCAGGCUUAGGGGAGAGGGUACUGUCGUUCUCCAAAUACACCAAACUUUCACACAUAUUUAUGUUGUUAGGUCUUUGCAAAUGUCUCUCCACUUUCCUGGAGUUCCUUUCUCCCUUUUCUGUGUGUAGACUCUAAUUCAUCCUUUAAAA
rnacentral:lncRNA from 1 species